rnacentral:rRNA from 1 species
UAGAGUUUGAUCCUGGCUCAGAUUGAACGCUGGCGGCAGGCCUAACACAUGCAAGUCGAACGGUAACAGGAAACAGCUUGCUGUUUCGCUGACGAGUGGCGGACGGGUGAGUAAUGUCUGGGAAACUGCCUGAUGGAGGGGGAUAACUACUGGAAACGGUAGCUAAUACCGCAUAACGUCGCAAGACCAAAGAGGGGGACCUUCGGGCCUCUUGCCAUCAGAUGUGCCCAGAUGGGAUUAGCUAGUAGGUGGGGUAACGGCUCACCUAGGCGACGAUCCCUAGCUGGUCUGAGAGGAUGACCAGCCACACUGGAACUGAGACACGGUCCAGACUCCUACGGG